rnacentral:rRNA from 1 species
UACGUAGGUGGCAAGCGUUGUCCGGAAUUAUUGGGCGUAAAGAGCUCGUAGGCGGUUUGUCGCGUCUGCUGUGAAAUCUGGGGGCUCAACCCCCAGCCUGCAGUGGGUACGGGCAGACUAGAGUGCGGUAGGGGAGAUUGGAAUUCCUGGUGUAGCGGUGGAAUGCGCAGAUAUCAGGAGGAACACCGAUGGCGAAGGCAGAUCUCUGGGCCGUAACUGACGCUGAGGAGCGAAAGCGUGGGGAGCGAACAGG